UCUCCGUAGGUGAACCUGCGGAGGGAUCAUUACAGAGUUCAUGCCCUUACGGGUAGAUCUCCACCCUACGUUAUCGUUACCUUUGUUGCUUUGGCGGGCCGUCAGGCCUCGGUCAGACUACCGGCUCCGGCUGGUAAGUGCCCGCCAGAGGAUAUCAAACCUUGAAUUUAAUGUCGUCUGAGUACUAUAUAAUAGUUAAAACUUUCAACAACGGAUCUCUUGGCUCUC
rnacentral:misc_RNA from 1 species